CAAACACUCAAUAUUUCCACAAAACACAAAGGACACACAACUGCUUGCCAUUGUCAUCGUUUCUUAUAGAAAACGAGAUAUGGAUCCCUCCCAAAGUGUGACUUAACACACCUAUGGCAUCAUGUGCGACAUCACAGCCACUGCUGGAGGCUAAUCUCCAAACACUGGGAUCUGAUUUUCAGCAGUAUUGACAGUUCAAGAAUCAAUCUGUGCCAGCUUCCUCUCUACUGAACCUGAUGCCGCUCUCAUACUACGCAUGUGACUGAGCUGUACGACUCAGUUUCCCUGUGCUGUGUGCCUGCUUCUGAGAGGCUAACCUUGAUUUGAAUGUUUCCCAGCUGAUCCGCUCAACAGCGGGCGAUGAGGAGGUUGAAGCUGUCUAAACAUGUGCAGCCAUACUGCAGUGAUAAUCCGGACAAUUUAAACAUUUCUUACAAGCAGAAGUGAAACCAUUAAUCCUGUGAGAUUCUUCUGAUAAGUGGUGACUGUGAAGUAAUGGCCAUGUCUCCCUGGAAAAAUAAAAAUAUGUGGACAAUUAAAGCAAGAUGGACAUUAUCUGGCAAGAGUCCCUACUCCCCUUUUCUUUAGCAGUAUUGUAAUUGAUCUGUCCCUUUGUUACUAAACUGAAUAUUGAGUCCUGGCUUUUUGUUCAUUAUCUGUGGAUUUUAACAUGGUGCAUAUUUGUCAAGUUCGAAAAUCAUGUAAAAAAGGAAACCAGUGAUUCUUUUCUUCACAUAUACAAAUGCUGUUCUGAAGAAAAGUCAAUUCUCAUGUCACCUGCUAAAGUUUCUGGCUAUAAUGUGUUGCCCUUUCCAGGCACCCCUGUUGUUUAGUUAUUUGAAAGUACUUUGACAAGCUGCAGUAUAUGACAGGAGUAUAUUGUAUCUGGAAUUAAGUCCAUUCACAUUUAAUUGUCCUUAAAAACUCUGUCAAACUUUU